rnacentral:rRNA from 1 species
UGGGGAAUAUUGGACAAUGGGCGAAAGCCUGAUCCAGCCAUGCCGCGUGUGUGAAGAAGGUCUUCGGAUUGUAAAGCACUUUAAGUUGGGAGGAAGGGCAGUAAGCGAAUACCUUGCUGUUUUGACGUUACCGACAGAAUAAGCACCGGCUAACUCUGUGCCAGCAGCCGCGGUAAUACAGAGGGUGCAAGCGUUAAUCGGAAUUACUGGGCGUAAAGCGCGCGUAGGUGGUUCGUUAAGUUGGAUGUGAAAGCCCCGGGCUCAACCUGGGAACUGCAUCCAAAACUGGCGAGCUAGAGUAGGGCAGAGGGUGGUGGAAUUUCCUGUGUAGCGGUGAAAUGCGCAGAUAUAGGAAGGAACACCAGUGGCGAAGGCGACCACCUGGGCUCAUACUGACACUGAGGUGCGAAAGCGUGGGGAGCAAACAGG